UCCUUUAUUUUUCAUGCUUGCGACCGUGAUUCGGGAACGUUGAGUGCCAGGAUACCCCUCCGGCUGUCCGGAUGCCUAAAACGGAUUAGAUAGCAAGGGCCGGGAAAGACCGGUGCCGACCGCCGCGGUAACACCGGCGGCUCGAGGGCCAACCUUUCUUAUCGUGAUCUAAAGGGUCUGUAGCCGUGCUAGGUCACUCUCUAGGGAAAUCCGGUAACUUAAAUGGCAUGUUUUCAAGACAUACUGACUGGCUCCAGACCAGGAAGAAGAGAGAGGCACUUCGUGGGUAGGGGAGAAAUCUUGUAAUCCUUGAAGGACCUCCAGUGACGAAGGCUCUCUCACACAGAACGGACACUGACAGCGAGGAACGAAGGCUAGGGGCACGAACCGGAUUACAUACCCGGGUAGUCCUAGCCGUAAUCGAUACUCGCUAGGUGUCUGCCACCGAGCCACCGAGGUCACUGACAUAAGUAAUGCAUGAAGCCAGCCGCCUGGUAAGUACGGCCGCAUGGCUGAUACUUAAAUGAAUUGGCGAGCAACCACAAAGA
rnacentral:rRNA from 1 species